AUGAACGCUGGCGGCGUGCCUAAUACAUGCAAGUCGAGCGAACAGACGAGAGUGCUUGCACUCUCUGACGUUAGCGGCGGACGGGUGAGUAACACGUGGGUAACCUACCUAUAAGACUGGGAUAACUUCGGGAAACCGGAGCUAAUACCGGAUAAUAUUUAGCUUCGCAUGAAGCAAUAGUGAAAGACGGUUCUGCUGUCACUUAUAGAUGGACCCGCGGUGUAUUAGCUAGUUGGUGAGGUAACGGCUCACCAAGGCAACGAUACAUAGCCGACCUGAGAGGGUGAUCGGCCACACUGGGACUGAGACACGGCCCAGACUCCUACGGGAGGCAGCAGUAGGGAAUCUUCCGCAAUGGACGGAAGUCUGACGGAGCAAUGCCGCGUGAGUGAAGAAGGUUUUCGGAUCGUAAAACUCUGUUGUAAGGGAAGAACAAGUACGUUAGUAACUGAACGUACCUUGACGGUACCUUACCAGAAAGCCACGGCUAACUACGUG
rnacentral:rRNA from 1 species